rnacentral:rRNA from 1 species
GACGAAGGAUGCAAGCGUUAUCCGGAUUCAUUGGGUUUAAAGGGCGCGUAGGUGGCCUUAUAAGUCAGUGGUGAAAUCCUGUUGCUUAACAACAGAAUUGCCAUUGAUACUGUAGGGCUUGAGUAUAGUUGCCGUUGGCGGAAUAUGACAUGUAGUGGUGAAAUACAUAGAGAUGUCAUAGAACACCGAUUGCGAAGGCAGCUAACGAAACUAUAACUGACACUGAGGCUCGAAAGUGCGGGGAUCAAACAGG